GUCCGCGUGGCCUAAUGGAUAAGGCGUCUGACUUCGAAUCAGGAGAUUGCAGGUUCAAAUCCUGUCGCGGAAU
rnacentral:tRNA from 1 species